CUGGGAACUCCAGGAGAUCACUCUCUUUAGGUGCACAUCUGGAACUCCAGGUGAUCACUCUCUUUAGGUGCACAUCUGGAACUCCAGGAGAUCACCCUCCUUAAGAGACAUGUGCACCUCUGGGAACUCCAGAUCCUUUUUUCCCCCCUCUCAAAUACAAAUGCACACAAUUUCACAAUAGGUUCAUAGGUAUAAAAUGGGUAUUUUUACAGAUUUCACGCGACAUUUGCCGCUCAUUCUUCUUAAUCAGAAAGAAUUCCUAGGCCAGGCUGACCUGCUCUGGUAGCAGUCUCUCUGUCUCUCUGUCUGCACCCUUUAUUUUUGGCUGCAGCAGCUCCACAAGAACAGCCAGACUAAACAGCCACGCUUUCAAUCACAGACCCACAUUUCCCCUAAACCAAAACAGAUUCCUACUGCAGAAAAUUCCUGCUGUGUCUCAGAGGAGGG